GAUGAAGAACGCAGCGAAAUGCGAUACGUAAUGUGAAUUGCAGAAUUCAGUGAAUCAUCGAGUCUUUGAACGCACAUUGCGCCCCCUGGUAUUCCGGGGGGCAUGCCUGUCCGAGCGUCAUUGCUGCCCUCAAGCCCGGCUUGUGUGUUGGGUCUCGUCCCCCUUCCCGGGGGGACGGGCCCGAAAGGCAGCGGCGGCACCGCGUCCGGUCCUCGAGCGUAUGGGGCUUUGUCACCCGCUCUGUAGGCCCGGCCGGCGCUUGCCGAUCAACCAAAACUUUUUUCCAGGUUGACCUCGGAUCAGGUAGGGAUACCCGCUGAACUCAAGCAUAUCAAUAAGCGGAGGA
rnacentral:misc_RNA from 1 species